rnacentral:lncRNA from 1 species
GAAAACUCACUCUUUGAACAAAGUUCAUUCAAAUGAUCAAAAGUCAAAAGUCCUUUUACAAUGAAAAUGAACAACUAUUUAUAGUGUUCAGCUAGGUAGCUGAAUGGCCAAAACAAAGACUUAAUGUCUAAGUAAUUAAUUAGGCUAGAAAAAUGCUAGAAAAUUUUGGAAAUAAAAAAAAAACUAAAUUGCUGGAGCUAAAUUCAGCUGAAUUUGAAGCUCAAGGGACGAUUUCUAGAAGAGCAAAUGCACUUGGAGAAAUGGCAGCAGCUAGGUUCAGCCAAUUGAGCUUAAAUGAGCUCAUUAAAAUGUAAUUCUUGGCUGAAAAGAGACCAGCAUUAAAG